AUGAGAGUGCUGGGUCUCCUCCUGUGCCUGGUGACAGCCCCCCAGGGUGUCUGGUCCCAGGUGAAGCUGCAGGAGUGGGGCCCAGGAACUGUGAAUCCCUCACAGAACAUCACAGUCACCUGCGCUGUCUAUGGUUACUACAUCACCAGUGGUUACUACUGGAGCUGGAUCCGCCAAUCCCCAGGGAAGGGGCUGGAGUGGAUAGGACAGCUAGGAAAAACUGGGAACACUUACUACAGCCCGUCCUUUGAGAGCCGAGCUUUCCUCUCCAGAGACACCUCCAAGAACCAGUUCUCCCUGCAGCUGAGCUCUGCGAGCACCGAGGACACAGCUGUAAGUCAUGAUGGCAAAGCUGGUCACCGUGAAGUCAUGCUGGAGAGCCCCGUAACUGGUGGCAGUGGCUACAGGUUUCCACUCCCAGGUGCAGUAAGUGUCAUCUAG